CCGUUACGGGAGCAGUAAGAGUCAACGAACUAGUAAACCCUGAGAAUGGUCGAAUUGCAGAUUCUUUGGUACAUCUUGAUUGUUGAUGCCCCUGUAGUGUUGACCGCUGCCCCCCGGCGAUGUCUUCUGUCUGCCGCUCAAGUAGAUGGAGGUGACCUGUCCAUGGUGGCAGGGUAAUUUAAUCAGGCGAAUUCCGGGAGCCUGAGCAUCUACCGCUAAGGGAGGGGGCGCGCGCACCCACUGUGUACGGGGGGGUGACGAAAAAUACCGAUGCGGGACUCAUUAACGAGGCUCCGUCGGAAUGAGUGAACUCUAAAUCCUUUCACGGUGAAUUGGAGGGCAAGUCUGGUGCCAUUUGCGGUAACUCCAGCUCCAAUAGCGUAUAUUAGCGUGCAGUUAAAAAGCUCGUAGUUGGAUCUCGUCAUGUUUCCUGCCAUGUCUCGGGUGGAUGAAAAAGCAUAGGUUACGCUUGUGUUGUUCUAGCUUGUGUUUGAGCUGGCGUGGUGCUAUCUAGCUAGGUACUAGUCAUGCUAUAGCGGGUAUCUAUGGUCUAGGCUAGGGGGCGGAUGGCACCCCCUUUGAACAAAUUUGAGUGCUCAAACCAGUGAUGUUGCCUGAAAAGUUUUGCAUGGAAUAGUGAUAGGACUUCGGUUCUAUUUUGUUGCGUCGGUUCCGAAGAAAUCAUCUAAAGAGAUAGGGGGGGACGGUUUAUGGUUGCGCUAAACUAAAGCGAAAGCAUUCGUCAAGCAUGUUUUCAUUGACCAUGCGCUAGUUUUGACCAUAAACGAUGCCAACUGACGGCGUGGUGGUAGUAUAAUAACCUUCCUUUCGGGCAGUCCCCGGGAAACCUUUAAGUCUGGGGGUUCCGGGGGAAGUAUGGUUCCAAAGCUGAAACUUAAAGGAAUUGAUUGAAGGGCACCACCAGGAGUGGAGCCUGCGGCUUAAUUUGACUCAACACGGGAAAACUCACCCGGCCCGGACACUAUGAGGAGUGGAUUGAUAGCUCUUUCUUGAUUUGGUGGUAAGGUGCAUGGCCGUUCUUAGUUGGUGGAGCGAUUGCGGGUUAAUUCCGAUAACGAACGAGACUCUAGCCUUUUAAUUAGUGCACCUGUCCACUGUUCCUGUGCAAGCGGCGUUUCGGCGAUUCUGCUCAUUUACACUGCCCAGCUGGAUGUUUGUCGUUGUGCAGCGCUUCACGGUGUUGUAUGGCGGCUUGCGUUUGGUUGACGUAGUUUGGGUGGAUGGACCGGCGUUUGCUUCCGGGUACGGCGCGGGUGUUUACUUCUUAGAGGGACAAGCGAAUGAAAGCGCACGAAAUUGAGCAAUAACAGGUCUGUGAUGCCCUUAGAUGUCCGGGGCCGCACGCGCGCUACAAUGACGGUGCCAACGAGUCUGACCUUCUGACCCGAAAGGGUUGGGCAAACUGGUCAAUCACCGUCAUGACAGGGAUCGGGGCUUGUGUGUGCUCGAUGUCAUGCUAGUCAUGCAUGCGCUGAUUACGUCCCUGCCCUUUGUACACACCGCCCGUCGCUACUACCGAUUGAAUGGUUUAGUAAGGUCCUUGGAUUGGCGCUAUUGAAGUGGGCUCCGAAAGGGGUUCGCUCGACAGGUGCUGAGAAGACGA
rnacentral:rRNA from 1 species